rnacentral:lncRNA from 1 species
GUGCCAGUGAGAGUCUGGUGGUGGUGCCAAACACAGGUGUCAACAGCUGCUCUGUAUCGACACUAUACCGGACCAAGGAGAGCUGUUGGGAGCGAGAUGGCUCGAGGUCGCGCAUGGGUGAUGGUGCUCCUGGUGACCGCGACGGCUCGCUGGGUUGAAGCCGGACUAAGCAGUAUGUUGAAUAUAGUGUUCUCCCGACGCACA